GACGAACGCUGGCGGCGUGCUUAACACAUGCAAGUCGAACGGAAAGGCCCUGCUUUUGUGGGGUGCUCGAGUGGCGAACGGGUGAGUAACACGUGAGUAACCUGCCCUUGACUUUGGGAUAACUUCAGGAAACUGGGGCUAAUACCGGAUAGGAGCUCCUGCUGCAUGGUGGGGGUUGGAAAGUUUCGGCGGUUGGGGAUGGACUCGCGGCUUAUCGGCUUGUUGGUGGGGUAGUGGCUUACCAAGGCUUUGACGGGUAGCCGGCCGGAGGGGGUGACCGGCAAAAUGGGGACGGGGAUACGGCCCGGACUCCUACGGGGGGCAGCAGGGGGGAUUAUUGCACAUGGGGCGGAAGCCUGAGGCGGCAACGCCGCGUGCGGGAUGACGGCCUUCGGGUGUAAAACCGCUUUCGCCUGUGACGAAGCGUGAGGGACGUUAAUGGGGAAAGAAGCACCGGCUAACUACGU
rnacentral:rRNA from 1 species